CAGUCGCCACGGUAAUACGUAGGUGGCAAGCGUUGUCCGGAAUUAUUGGGCGUAAAGGGCUCGCAGGCGGUUUCUUAAGUCUGAUGUGAAAGCCCCCGGCUCAACCGGGGAGGGUCAUUGGAAACUGGGAAACUUGAGUGCAGAAGAGGAGAGUGGAAUUCCACGUGUAGCGGUGAAAUGCGCAGAGAUGUGGAGGGACACCGGUGGCGAAGGCGACUCUCUGGUCUGUAACUGACGCUGAGGAGCGGAAGCGUGGGGAGCGAACAGGAUUAGAUACCCCAGUAGUCCCUGUCUCUUAUAC
rnacentral:rRNA from 1 species